GAUGAACGCUGGCGGCGUGCCUAACACAUGCAAGUCGAACGGAGCGUCUUUGAAGGAGACUUCGGUCAAUGGAUGAGAUUGCUUAGUGGCGGACGGGUGAGUAACGCGUGAGGAACCUGCCUUUCAGAGGGGGACAACAGUUGGAAACGACUGCUAAUACCGCAUGACGCAUAGGAGCCGCAUGGCUCUUAUGCCAAAGAUUUAUCGCUGAAAGAUGGCCUCGCGUCUGAUUAGCUAGUUGGUAAGGUAACGGCUUACCAAGGCAACGAUCAGUAGCCGACCUGAGAGGGUGACCGGCCACAUUGGGACUGAGACACGGCCCAA
rnacentral:rRNA from 1 species